GAUUUCUGGCAAAUUCGGAUGGCCCGGCUCCUUCUGGGGCUGCGUGCUGUCUCUGAGUCUGCCAUCCUUCCAGAGAGCUGUGCCUACCGCUUCUGCGGCCGGGCGCUGUGAUCUGGAUCUUUUACUUUGAAAAAAUUAGAGUGUUCCAAGCAGGCUUACGCUUUGAAUACAUUAGCAUGGAAUAAUAAUAUAGGACUUUGGACCUAUUUUGUUGGUUUCUAGGACUGAAGUAAUGAUUGAUAGGGAUAGUUGGGGGUGCUAGUAUUCAGCGGCCAGAGGUGAAAUUCUUGGAUUCGCUGAAGACUAACUACUGCGAAAGCAUU
rnacentral:rRNA from 1 species